UACGGAGGAUGCAAGCGUUAUCCGGAUUUAUUGGGUUUAAAGGGUGCGUAGGCGGAUAUGUAAGUCAGCGGUGAAACUCACAGUCUCAACCUGUGCCGUGCCGUUGAAACUGUGUAUCUGGAAUGCGGAUGCUGUGGGAGGAAUGUGUAGUGUAGCGGUGAAAUGCAUAGAUAUUACACAGAACACCGAUUGCGAAGGCAUCUCACAAAGCCGUUAUUGACGCUGAGGCACGAAAGUGUGGGGAUCAAA
rnacentral:rRNA from 1 species